rnacentral:rRNA from 1 species
GACGAACGCUGGCGGGGGGAGGAACACAUGCAAGUCGAACGGAAAGGCCCUGCUUUUGUGGGGUGCUCGAGUGGCGAACGGGUGAGUAACACGUGAGUAACCUGCCCUUGACUUUGGGAUAACUUCAGGAAACUGGGGCUAAUACCGGAUAGGAGCUCCUGCUGCAUGGUGGGGGUUGGAAAGUUUCGGCGGUUGGGGAUGGACUCGCGGCUUAUCAGCUUGUUGGUGGGGUAGUGGCUUACCAAGGCUUUGACGGGUAGCCGGCCUGAGAGGGUGACCGGCCACAUUGGGACUGAGAUACGGCCCAGACUCCUACGGGAGGCAGCAGUGGGGAAUAUUGCACAAUGGGCGGAAGCCUGAUGCAGCAACGCCGCGUGCGGGAUGACGGCCUUCGGGUUGUAAACCGCUUUCGCCUGUGACGAAGCGUGAGUGACGGUAAUGGGUAAAGAAGCACCGGCUAACUACGUG